AGAAGAACAAGAAAAAUAUAACUCUUCCACAAAAGUUUUAAAGAGCCCAUGAAUGUAGUUUGGGGGCAUCGCAAUAAUGAUAUAAGAAGAUCAAAACAGAACCAGAAAUUAAAUGAAUUCAAGGAAAAGGAAAGAGAC